GACGAACGCUGGCGGCGUGCUUAACACAUGCAAGUCGAACGGAAAGGCCUCUUUCGGGGGGUACUCGAGUGGCGAACGGGUGAGUAACACGUGAGUAACCUGCCCUUGACUUUGGGAUAACUUCAGGAAACUGGGGCUAAUACCGGAUAGGAGCUCCUGCUGCAUGGUGGGGGUUGGAAAGUUUCGGCGGUUGGGGAUGGACUCGCGGCUUAUCAGCUUGUUGGUGGGGUAGUGGCUUACCAAGGCUUUGACGGGUAGCCGGCCUGAGAGGGUGACCGGCCACGUUGGGACUGAGAUACGGCCCAGACUCCUACGGGAGGCAGCAGUGGGGAAUAUUGCACAAUGGGUGGAAGCCUGAUGCAGCAACGCCGUGUGCGGGAUGACGGCCUUCGGGUUGUAAACCGCUUUCGCUCAUGACGAAGCUUUGUGUGACGGUAGUGGGUAAAGAAGCACCGGCUAACUACGUG
rnacentral:rRNA from 1 species